GCAAUAUAGCCAAUUCCUGCCAUGAGAAAGAUUGUCCUAAUUAUUUUGGUUGUAGUUUUACUAGUUAACUCAAACAUUCCACAUGGACAAACACACAAACAACACAAAGUUCAAAGAAGCGCCGCUUCAUCAAAAUCUGGUAAGAGGCCUAAACUACCCGGUGAUGCAGUUUGUUCUGGUUGUAAAUACUUGAACAAGACAGAUUCAGUGAUAGUUCCGAAAGGUCCUUUGCUGCAAUCUCGUAAAUAUUUCAAACCCAAGGACGAUGUAAUUUGCGCUGCAUGCAAGAAAUUUCACGGAAGGAAAUCGCCAAAAUGUAAUCUUUUUUGUUUCACAGCUGAAAGUUUCAUUUAAAAUUUUUCUCCAGAUAUAGCCUGUUAAUUGAUGUACACUAAAUGCUUUUCUUAAAUAUGGUAUCAUUUCGUAU